UAUUGCGCAAUGGGGGGAACCCUGACGCAGCAACGCCGCGUGAAGGAUGAAGGUUUUCGGAUUGUAAACUUCUUUGAUGAGGGACGAAACAAAUGACGGUACCUCAAAAACAAGCCACGGCUAACUACGUGCCAGCAGCCGCGGUAAUACGUAGGUGGCGAGCGUUGUCCGGAAUUACUGGGUGUAAAGGGCGUGUAGGCGGGGAUGCAAGUCAGAUGUGAAAUACCGAGGCUUAACUUCGGGGGUGCAUCUGAAACUGUAUUUCUUGAGUGUCGGAGAGGAAAGUGGAAUUCCUAGUGUAGCGGUGAAAUGCGUAGAUAUUAGGAGGAACACCAGUGGCGAAGGCGACUUUCUGGACGAUAACUGACGCUGAGGCGCGAAAGCGUGGGGAGCAAACAG
rnacentral:rRNA from 1 species